rnacentral:rRNA from 1 species
GACGAACGCUGGCGGCGUGCUUAACACAUGCAAGUCGAACGAUGAAGCCGGAGCUUGCUCCGGCGGAUUAGUGGCGAACGGGUGAGUAACACGUGAGAAAUCUGCCCUUGACUCUGGGAUAACUGCGGGAAACUGUAGCUAAUACCGGAUAUUUUCCUUGGUGGGGAUCCACUGGGGAAGAAAGAAUUUCGGUCAAGGAUGAUCUCGCGGCCUAUCAGCUAGUUGGUGAGGUAAUGGCUCACCAAGGCGACGACGGGUAGCCGGCCUGAGAGGGUGACCGGCCACACUGGGACUGAGACACGGCCCAGACUCCUACGGGAGGCAGCAGUGGGGAAUAUUGCACAAUGGGCGCAAGCCUGAUGCAGCAACGCCGCGUGAGGGAUGAAGGCCUUCGGGUUGUAAACCUCUUUUAGCAGGGAAGAAGCGAAAGUGACGGUACCUGCAGAAAAAGCACCGGCUAACUACGUGCCAGCCGCCGCCGUAA